UGGGGAAUUUUGGACAAUGGGCGAAAGCCUGAUCCAGCAAUGCCGCGUGUGUGAAGAAGGCCUUCGGGUUGUAAAGCACUUUUGUCCGGAAAGAAAUCCUUGGCUCUAAUACAGUCGGGGGAUGACGGUACCGGAAGAAUAAGCACCGGCUAACUACGUGCCAGCAGCCGCGGUAAUACGUAGGGUGCAAGCGUUAAUCGGAAUUACUGGGCGUAAAGCGUGCGCAGGCGGUUUGCUAAGACCGAUGUGAAAUCCCCGGGCUCAACCUGGGAACUGCAUUGGUGACUGGCAGGCUAGAGUAUGGCAGAGGGGGGUAGAAUUCCACGUGUAGCAGUGAAAUGCGUAGAGAUGUGGAGGAAUACCGAUGGCGAAGGCAGCCCCCCUGGGCCAAAUACUGACGCUCAUGCACGAAAGCGUGGGGAGCAAACAGGAUUAGAUACCCCUGGUAGUCCACGCCCUAAACGAUGUCAACUAGUUGUUGGGGAUUCAUUUCCUUAGUAACGUAGCUAACGCGUGAAGUUGACCGCCUGGGGAGUACGGUCGCAAGAUUAAAACUCAAAUGAAUUGACGGGGUCAUAGCUG
rnacentral:rRNA from 1 species